GAUGAACGCUGGCGGCGUGCUUAAUACAUGCAAGUCGAACGAACAGACGCGGCUUUUGCGCUUCUUUCGUUGCCGACGGGCGGGUGAGUCGCACGUGAAUUGCCCUUCUCUCAGACUUAAAUACCUUCGAGUAACCGUAGUUCAUAACGGAUACUAUAUUGAACUGCAUGGUUCUAUAGUGAUAUUCGGUUUUUCUGUCGCUUCUAGAUGUAUCCGCGCGUCAUUAGCUUGUUGGUAAGGUAACGCCUUACCAAGUAAACGAUGCGUAACCGACGGGAGAGGGUGAUAGGCCACACUGGAACGGAGACACGGUCCAGGCGCCUACGGGAGGCAGCAGUAGGGAACGUUACGCAAUAGGGGGAAGCAUGACGGAGCGACGCCGCGCGAGAGAUGAAGGCGUUCGGAGCGUAAAACCCGGUUAUUGGGGAAAAACCAAUGUGUGAGUAAAAGAGCACAAAUUGACGGUACCUAAAGAGAAAGCCCCGGCUAACUACGUG
rnacentral:rRNA from 1 species